rnacentral:other from 4 species
UCUAUCCUGCGAUGUGCGUGAUGUCAUAUCGCGUUUGGGCCAACACCCACAAAACGGGAGGCUCAUUUCACUGGCGAGCGUGAUAGGCCUGCGCGGCUAAGACGCGACCCGGGGGAAGGUUUCCCACCUGCACUUGCAGGUUCAAACAGAGUGGCACACGGCAUUGCGGGUAUUGA